rnacentral:rRNA from 1 species
GUGGGGAAUAUUGGACAAUGGGCGAAAGCCUGAUCCAGCCAUGCCGCGUGUGUGAAGAAGGUCUUCGGAUUGUAAAGCACUUUAAGUUGGGAGGAAGGGCAGUAAGUUAAUACCUUGCUGUUUUGACGUUACCGACAGAAUAAGCACCGGCUAACUUCGUGCCAGCAGCCGCGGUAAUACGAAGGGUGCAAGCGUUAAUCGGAAUUACUGGGCGUAAAGCGCGCGUAGGUGGUUUUGUAAGUUGGAGGUGAAAUCCCCGGGCUCAACCUGGGAACUGCUUUCAAAACUGCUGAGCUAGAGUACGGUAGAGGGUGGUGGAAUUUCCUGUGUAGCGGUGAAAUGCGUAGAUAUAGGAAGGAACACCAGUGGCGAAGGCGACCACCUGGACUGAUACUGACACUGAGGUGCGAAAGCGUGGGGAGCAAACAGGAUUAGAAACCCGGGUAGUCC